AAUAAAAUCAAUUUAAAUCAAAAUCUGUCAUUAAAUUUUGAUAAACACAAUAGAGUAAAAGUUCCAAAAAUUAACAUGAAAAUAACAAGUAAAUCAAUCAAAUUCAAAAAAGCAAGCAGAAUUCGAAAUUCUUGGAACAAACAAUUAAAUAUUUCAUAACCAUAUGAGCUCCCAAUAUUAAUGGAUGCAAUGACAAUCCAGAUGAUUCUAAUACCUAUAAAAAAAAUGGAAGUUCAUUAUUCCUAAUAAUAAUAGCCACUUCUGAUGGAAGUUCAUUUGUCUGAGCAACAAAAGCAUAAAUAGAACACCAAGCAAUUUGUGCAGUAGCAUAUCCAUUUCAACUUGCAGUUGUAGAAGCACCUGUUCCUAUUGGAUCUCAUCCAUUUCAUCUUCUUGAUUUUCUUGUUCGUUUCACCAAGAGUUGUAUUGUUGGAACUUCAACCCAAGCGGUUUAAAUGGCAGCGGUGUUGGUUAUCUCACUUCUGAGCCUCCCCACCUAAAUUUAUAGUAUUUCUUAGUGGUCUUUUGCUUCGCCUUAUCUAUCUCUUUUUCAAUAUUGCACCUCGAACAAUUGGAUUACUAUUGUGUGGAGUAGAAUGCUCACCCUCUAUGGCUACUCUUUGAGAAGAUAAUCCAUGCUGCAUAAAGAGAAUCUCAAGAUGAAUAUAAAUAAGUCUAUACACAUUACAUGUGAGUAAAAAAAUUUAAAACAUGUGCUUACACUGAUAGUGGUUUGACCACUAUUUAAAUUCAAUGACAUCCAAUUCCAGCAGUCUUCCUACGUGCAGGCAUUUUUGUAGGCCUUCUUGACGUAGAAGAUUGUGAGUUUCCAAUUACCUGAGAGGAUGUGGUUGGACAAAAUAUAUUUUUGUUACUGCAAAUGCUACACCAUUGUAUUUGCCCUUUCCUAGAUAUGUAAGUACUUGAUGAUGGUUCAUUCUUGGCUUGUACUCCCUCCGUCCGUUAAGAUUAUGUCACAAUUACUAUAUUGGGCGUCCGCUAAGAUUAUGUCACUUUCAUUUUAAGGCAAUGGUCCCACCAUCCUCUUUAAUAUUUUAUCCUUACUAACACUCUUUAUUUACAAAAAAACUCACUCAAAAUUCAAUCUCAACCACACAUCUCAUAAAGUGGUGGGACCCUUUCUUCACUACAUCAAAAUCAUCACCAAUUUUAUUAAAUCAUGUGCCCAAGCAAUUUGACAUAAUCUUGACGGACAGAAGGAGUAUCAUAUUCUUCCUAGGCCUCCCAAUUAUCUUCUCCCUAGGUGGAGGUUCAAUUGGUGCAUGAAAUUCUUUCUUAAAGAACUUUACUUCAGGACCAGGUUUGAUUCUAUACUCAUAUAAGUCUUUUGACACAUACAUUUGUCGUACCAAUUUGAAAUCAUUGACAUGGGGUCAAUUUUGAAAAAGUCCAUGGCAACUAUGGCAUGACAAAAUGAAAUUUCAACUUGAAUUUAUACUUCACCAUAUACAAGUUUAUUGCUUCUCUUGCUUCUUUUACAUCACCAAUUGCCAUCCCUAAUUGGAAAUAUCCUUGAGUACCUUCUGCAUUUUCCAAGUGAUUAAUAAUAAACUUAUAUGCCUCUGUCUCGCUACUACUACUAUCUUCCCCAUAAUUUUCAUGACGAUGUUCACCUUUUUCACUAAUAUUUCCCAUAAGAUUUACAUAUAUUCUCUUAGCUCAAUCAUCCACUUCAAGCUCUAUCACUUUAUUUAUAUCUUCAUCAGUCUCUUCAGCCUCUAUCUUAUCACCUUCAAUACUUCCAUCACCACAGCCCUAUGCUUCAUCCUCUAUCUCUAUCUCUAUCUAUAUCCUUUCAUAAUCAUUACCCCUACUUCAAUACAUCCACAAUUUCCCCCUACUUCAAUACCUUCACCACCAUUACCACAAUUCUCCACUUCAAUUGGUAAAGUACUAGGCACUAAACUAACAGGCAGAGGCAUCUCAUUAUCAUCAAUAAAUAAUUCAAUUUUAUUUUGAUUCACUAUUUCCACAUACUAUAGUCUUCCUACAUGACUCUUCAUCCUUAAUUAUAUUUCUCUUUAAAAUUCUUAUCAGUGUCAUAAACAUAUAUCCCUUCAAAAUUUGGAAACCCUAACUCAGAAUAAUGUUUCUUAAUACGCUCAAAACUGAUCAACUUCAAAUCAUAAACCAAAAUGUCACUAUCAAAACCAUCAAAGCUCCAAGUUUCUGUUUUAUCUCAAUAACUACCAAAAUCAAAAGAAAAUAAAAUAAAAUUACAUUUUUUUGGAAACAUGUUGUAACAACUAUAAACAAGAAAAGAAGAAGUUUAUUCUCUCACCAAAUAAAAGAAAUCGAAGAGCAAAAUCAGAGAAGUCUAUGAAAUUUGAUCAUCUUAUUUAAGCAUGACAAAAAAAAAAACAAAAAACAAAAAACAAAAAAAACACACACACACAAAGAAGGUGUUUAGCUAAGACUCACCUUUCUUUGUUUGACAUUUCAUGUGAAGCUUUGUAUCAUAACAAUCUUCUCUUCUUAAAGAAAUUUUUGAGUAUGCGAAGAAAACCU
rnacentral:lncRNA from 1 species